ensembl:lncRNA
GGGGGAGAAGGAAAUAUAGCCAAGGCCCAUCAUGUCCCCUUUGCUUCCUCAGUGCAUGCCAGCUCCCACAUGGCUAUUUGGUAUUGUGAAUGAUACGGCCCAGCAGCCACGGGCCAAAGGACAUGCUCUUAAACACCCAGGUCCUGCUCUGAGUAACCUCAAACAAUCCCAUGACACAUUCUCUGGGAGCACCACUCAGAGCGUGUCCCCACUCCAGCAGCAGGUACAGAGAGACAAGAUCAAUCAGCCAAUGGCAGAGUUGGGAAGAGAGCACGCGUGACUAAGAUGCUCUAGGGACUUUGGGGAUGAAAACUGCUAUACUAAUUUUCAGACUUUCCCAACCCUAGAAGUUCUAUGUGGUUCCAGAUAUCUGCCUCAAACCUCACAGGUAUUAGGCUCUGAUCCUGCACUGAGAACUGCAUACCAGGUGGACCCUGACAGCUGAGUGGGGAAAGACAAUGGGUCUCUGUGCAGACACAGGGUCUACCUACAUAGUUUCUCAAAAAGGCCUUACUUUAUAGUGGGCCUUUCAAAAUACUAUACCCUGUAGAGCUCUUGCUUAACCCUCAAGUAUGACAUUUGGAGCAGUGCUGAAGAGGUCGUCAUCCUGCAAUAAGCUAAUUAGGGUGGACAAAAGGUGGAUCAGCCUGGCAAACUUGCUGUACAUGGAAGUUUUCAAGAGGAGUCCAUUUUAAAUGUUUGUUUAAAG